rnacentral:lncRNA from 1 species
AAAUGCAUGUUCUACUAAUUUAAAAGGUAAUUGACUAUUCAUGUAAAAAAUGUUGAUGAUUUUUCAGGAGAGCAUUUCCCAGGCACGGGAUUCUUUGAGAGACUACACUGGAGCUGUGAGUGGUGCUGUCCGGUUCCUCCAGGAGGCUGAGGCCCUGCUCCAUCCCUCAUUAGCCCCAGUCGGAGGUUGCCUUGAGAGGCUGAGGGACAUCCAGCAGGCCCUGGCCUCCAUGGAGGAGCAGCUCCAUUCCCAUAUAAGCCAGCUCCAGACCCUGGCCCUCCAGCAUGACUACCUGAGCCCCCAGAUGGUGGAGCGUCUACAGAGGGAGGUGCUGAGCCAGCUCCUGGUGCGGAUGUCCACCCUCCAGGCCCAGGCCCAGCUCAAACUGGAGGCCCUGCAGAGGUGUGCUGAGUAUCACAGAAGGUAUAGGAAGUGCCAUGAGGAGAUCUGCCAGGGUGUAAAGAGCGCAGAGACCCAUCUCUCCUACUGUCACUCUCACAAAGUCAGCUCUCUCACUGACUGCACCGACCAGCAAGCUAAGCUAAAGGUAUGGGGAAAGAAUGCUAAACAAAUUUUUCAUAGCGUUAACAUUACAUUUUUUAAAUGUUUUUUUUACCCACCACUCUCUCCUUUACAGGCUCUGUCUGAGGAGGUAGACUCUGUAACUGGGCUUCUAAAGUGUUUGGGGGAGUGGUGCCCGGAGCAGGGUUGCCGUUGCAGCAGGGAGGGGGCGGUGAGCGCGCUCUGGAGGCAGGUGGCAAGACUGCAGCGUUGCACCUGCAAUCUGAAGACUCACUCAAAUCAGAGGGCAGACGAAUGGAGUGAUAUUACAAAGAGCGUGAGUUACAUGAUAGAUACUGGACACCUCUACCUCAAUCUUAAAAUAGCUAUACAUUUCCUAAAAUGACUGAGUU